AAGGAUGAAAGGGUGAAGACCGCGCCGCCCCUAAUCCCUUCACUACUUGCAGGAGUAAUCCUUUCCGUUUUUAGACGGGUUACAUCCGACAAGAGCUGAGUCUGUGACAAUAUAAUUUUACACCCGUACACAAGCUGGGUUGUGCGUCAGGUCCGGCAGUUACAUGUUUCAUCUAUGAAGCAGUACGACAUAGUACACUGGAAUCGAUCGUUUUCUUUCGUAUAUAUAAUGUGCUGUUUGUAACCUUUUUAAAGAGGCUAAACGAGAGCUGGGUGACGUGAGAAUCACACAACGUGAGGUCUGUGGCCAUAAUUUAAAGGCAAGUGACUUUGAAAAUGCAGUUUAAUUUAUUACGCUAGGCUAAUGAUAAAACCAUCAAUUAGCACACACGUCCAUGUGGAAUAUGCUUUGAUCUGUCAUGGUCGCUGGAUACAGCUGUAUUUCACGCAAGCCACACCCAUGAACACAAUGAACGCACUGCCUCACCAUGAUGCAAGCCAUGGUCCACUUGGCUGCUUCCUGGAUGAGCUGGACACUCUCCUGAACUCCCUCCCUGAGGAUGGCACUACUGGGAGACUUCAACCUCCCACCAGAGACCUCCCAACUAUCCAGGGCUGCCUCACUCCUCCAGUGUUUUGCCCUCUCCCAGUCUUCUUCUCCCCCGACACACAAGGCUGGUAACCAACUAGACUUGUAUUCACCAGAAGCUGCUCCAUUCCCCAACUCACAAUGACGCCCCUUCAUGUCUCAGACCACUUCUUUCUUUCUCCAUCUCCUACUCACCCACAACUCAUUUAACAGCUCACGCACAGUAACUUUCAGAAGAAAUCUCUCUACUUUGUCACAAUCCUACCUCCUCUCCACUGCUCUCUCUACACUUCCUCCUCCUGCUUCUUUCUCUAACCUGCCAGUUGACCUUGCUACCUCCACCCUCAACUCAUGCCUCUCCCAGUCCCUCGACUCACUCUGUCCUCUUGUCUCCAAACCAGCACGCUCUUCACCCCCCUGCCCAUGGCUGACUGAGUCACUACGGUCCACCAGAACAUCACUGCAGGCUGCAGAGAGGAAGUGGAGGAAAUCCAGAUCCUCUGAUGACUUGACCGCAUAUCACACCCUGCUGACAACUUUCACAUCUGCCCACAUAUCAGCUAAAGCCUCCAAUCAAAGAUCAGUGCAUGUAUCUCUGACCCACGCAAACUAUUCUCCACCUUCUCUUCCCUCCUCAUUCCUCCUCCACCCCCACCUCCCUCUUCCCUUUUCGCAGAUGACUUUCUGGCCACCUUUGAAGGAAAGGUGGCUAAAAUCCGGAACUCCUUUGCCCAUCCAGUGAGCACCCCUAACCCCCAGGACAAACCCACGGCCACACUGACCUCCUUCAAGGGGCUGGAGAAUUCGGAUGUACUCCAACUCAUCACUUCUCAUUGCACAACCACCUGUCCACUUGACCCCAUCCCAUCUACAGUCCUCCAAUCCAUAUCCGACAAGAUCCUUCCCUAUCUGUUGUGGCAAUCUGCCUCUUCAAAUUAAACAUUUAGUGCCUUAUUUAAGUUAAUAAAACAUUUUUUUAAAGUCCUAUAGCCUACACUAAUCAUGGCACAAUUUCUGUUUUAAAUUAAUUAGUAACAUGACGUUGGGUUUAGAAAGUUAGAAAAGGGAGGAAGUGAGGUAUGACAGAAGGGGAGUGGAGAAUUCAGAAAGUUAGAACGAGGACGGGAGAGAGGGGGAGUGGGAAAUUUGAAAUCCACAAACAAAGGAACAACAAAAAAAGGCUUAAAGAGUAUACUUUUUUAUCCUGGGAGAGUAUUCCGUUAAAUUCCUUUGGAUUAAGGAACACUGGAUCUUUUAUUGUUUCUUGUGGGAGGAACAUUACCCAAGAAGACAACAGCACAAGGAACUGGUUUGAGGUUUUUUGCCAGAACUGUUGUUGACUCGAAAAGAUACUAGAAACCUAACUUCCUCAUGCUCCUAAAUCCUUUGCUUCUAAGCUCCACUGAAAACUCCAAUUUUAUUCUCUCUGCUUGCCCGACACUGGCCUGACCUCUGCUCCUCAUCCCCUUGUUACAGGAGUACCACAGGGAUCUGCUCCGGGGCCUCUGCUGUUCUCCAUAUACACUAAAUCUCUUGGUUCAGUUAUUAAUUCACACGGCUUCUCCUAUCAUUGUUAUGCAGACGACACGCAACUCUUCUCCCCCCCCCCCCCCCCCGCCUCACAGGUUGAUGAUAAAAUAUCUUCCUGCCUGGCUGACAUCUCAACCUGGAUGGCCAGCCACUACCUGAAGCUCAUCCUCAACAAAACUGAGCUGCUGUUUUUCCCAUACAAGACCUCCCUGCUACGUGAGCUCUCAAUCACAGUUGAUGGCACCACAGCGACUGCCUCUCACUCUGCAAAGAGCCUGCGGGUGGUCCUGGACGACCAGCUGGACCUCAAAGAGCACAUCAAGGCAACAUCACGGUCCUGCAAAUUUCUUCUGUACAACAUCAGGAGGAUUCAACCAUACCUGACUAUGCACUCCACCCAGCUGCUUGUCCAGGCUAUGGUGACCUCCCACCUUGAUUACUCUCCUUGCAAGCCUGCCAGCUUGUGCCAUACAGCCACUACAGAUGACUAAAAAUGCUGCUGCCCAACUCAUUUUCAACCUUCCCAAAUUCUCCCACGUCACUCCUCUGCUGUGGUCACUCUCCACUGGCUACCGGUUGCUGCCAGGAACAGGUUCAAAGUCCUCACCCUCACCUACACUGCAGCCAACAGGAUGGCCCUUGUCUACUUGCAGGACAUGAUUAGAUUCUAUACGCCUGCUCGACCACUCCGCUCUGCAGCAGCAGGGCGCCUUGCACCCCCUCCCACCCGAGUAAAGGGAUCACAGAGCUUCUCCACCCUAGCUCCCCAGUGGUGGAAUGAACUCCCUGUCCCUCUUCAAACCUCCCCCUCACUACAUCUGGUCGGAAGACACAUCUUUUCAGACUAUACCUGGACUAACUGCCACCACUCUGUGAAUCAUUUCACUUUACAUCCCCCCUUUCAUGAUACUCAUUCCAGAACUUUUUGUAAUUUGUAUUUGCCCUAAUAUUGUAGCUUGUUCUUCUCCCUAGGCUUGGUAUAUGUUAGGUCAGAAUAAUGUUCACUGCGUGAACUGAACUGAGUUCUUGGCUAGAAAUAGCUGUACGAAAUGAGUAUUGUACCUUAUUGAACCUGUGUUUUGUAGUUGUCCAAUGACCAUGAUAUGCAAUUUUUUUUCAUCGCAUUGGAUAAAAGCGUCUGCUAAAUAAAUAUAAUGUAAUGUAACCUGCCAUUUGAUGGGUUUCCCUUUCCCUUAACCCAAUAAGGUAUAAGAUCACAAAUAUGCAGUUAGAAUGUUCUGAACAUUCUAAUGCUGAUGUAACAAUUACUACUGGUGAGUUAAAGAAAUGGAGUUCUAGAACUCUGAAUUUUGAAGGAAAAAAAACAUUACAAAAAAGUAAUGCUCCAACAAACCCAGCAAAAGAACCAUUCAGCUUUUGGAGGCUUCUAAUAAUCUAAGAAGCUUUGCUGUGCUGGGGUGUUCAAAGUCAUCAUGAACAUUUAUCUUUACCAGUUUCAAAAUAAAAUAUAAGGGCUUGCAUCAUUCUUUUUUAUUUAUGAGAAAAUCAGACCUAAUUGAAAAAAAACUAAAUUAUAUUAGAUAUGUUAGAAGACUUAGAAUUGUGUUUUUGAUUUAUUUUUAAUAAAUACUUUAUGAUGUUUUACAAUGACAAACUCCAUGUUAGGUCAGCGUGCUCCCCCUGUUGGUCACUUUGAAGUAACGGCACUGCAUUCUUCUGUUCAUACAACAACGCCGGUGUGUGUUCGUGUGUGCGAGACGGGUGCGUAAGAUUUUCCUCCAUCAAAACUCCUUACCCAUUAAAUAGCAAAAUCGUCGCUUAGCUUUUAACUCUUCCGCGUAAAUGGUUACAAAAAUAGAAAUAUUGGUUACAUUGGUCAUGUUUAUAUCUUCAGCUGAUAUCAGUAAUUAUUUGUGUAGGCUACUUAACAUCACGGGCACCAUAAAUACAUUUUUAUCCACGUUAAAUCAAUCGUCUGCAGCAAAACAGACAUGCUAAAAUUCCAUGCAUGUGUUUUGUCAUGGAAAUUUUUUCUGGUCGGAAGACACUUUUUUAAAAAAAAACUUCAAACCAUUCCUGACUCAAUCUCUUUAAGAAAUGAUGUAAGAGUAAGUGAAACAACAGUUUGGCCAGGACUUCGGCCUAUGUGAACAGCACACUACAUAGCACAGGUGGCACUGCUUGCUCCGCUUCUCCUAAAAGCCUCCUUGACCGCCAUCUUGGUACCAUUCAAUGGGGACACAAAACAGCAUGUAAAACGGGAAAGGAAGGUAUUUGCAGAUUAAGUCUUCAGCUGAAUAUUGAAAAUAGUUUUGCAGAUGCACACAAAAAAAGCAUUGCUCAUGUUGAAGUUUUGAAGAUAAAAGGCUUGUUUUAAGGCACUAUUAUUUCAAAAGGCACAAACAUUUCUUGACCUUAAACCCUUGAGACCGACCGAGCCAUAUGCCGAAUCGAGGAGAAAUAAAGAGGUUUGACAUUCAACGUAGAAGGGCGCCAAUGAGAACAAAGAGUAGGCGUUCCCAAAGUUUAAAAAUGUUGUAUUGAUACCUUUUCAGGCCAAUCAUAAUUAACUGCGCGCGUACUACAAGCCAAUCGUUACACACGCCGAGAUGGUUUAUGUUGAUCGGACU